AACCUUAAUUUUCACGUGAUUUUAUUUUGUUUGUGCAGAACUUGGAAUAUAUAUAUAUAUAUAUAUAUACAUUCUUUCUGAAACUUAUACAAAAAAGAUUUUCAAUGGCUGUGCUGCAACACAGAAAGAUAAUUUUAAAUCUUUCCAAAGUUAGUGGUAUCUUGCAGUAUGGGUGUUUACUCAAAUUGGCUAGAAAAAAAUGGACCUUGUCAAAAGAUGUAUUUAAAUUUUCUGAGGAUGUGGCAACAGCAAUCAAAUCUGGAAAACCAGUUGUGGCAUUGGAGUCUACAAUUAUCACCCAUGGAAUGCCCUAUCCAGCAAAUCUAAAGACUGCUGUAGCUGUUGAAGAAAUUGUAACUAAUCAAGGAGCUGUUCCAGCAACAAUAGCCAUUAUGAAUGGGAGGAUCUGUAUUGGUAUGAAUAAGACAGAAUUAAAAGAGUUAGCAGAAAGUAGGAAAAUAUCCAAAAUAUCAAGGAGAGAUUUGCCAUAUGUUGUAAGUAAGCAAUUGACUGGUGGAACUACAGUUGCAGGAACAAUGGUUAUUGCUCACGAAGUUGGAAUUUCUGUAUUUGUGACUGGAGGGAUUGGUGGAGUGCAUCGAGGUGGUGAAAAAAGUAUGGACAUAAGUGCUGAUCUAACAGAGCUAAGUCGUACGCCUUUGACAGUUGUGUCAGGAGGAGUGAAGUCUAUCCUAGACAUAGAGAAGACACUGGAGUAUUUGGAAACCUUUGGGGUUAGUGUUGUCACGUAUGGACCCUCUCGAAAUUUCCCUGCAUUCUUCACAUCUGAUAGUGGAUUUCUUGCUCCUUAUAAUGUAACAACACCAGAGGAAGCUGCAAGGCUUAUUAUAGCCAGAGAUGAACUAAAUCUAGAGAGUGGUAUUUUAGUUGCAGUUCCAAUAUCUCAAGAACAUUCAGCAGAAGGGGAAACUGUAGAAGCUGCAAUUAAAGAAGCUCUUAGAAUUGCAGAACAAAAUGGUAUAUGUGGCAAAGAUAUCACACCUUUCAUACUGAAUAAAGUGAAUGAGUUAACAGAUGGAACUUCACUCCAAGCCAAUAUUGCACUGGUGAAAAUCAAUGCCUGUGUUGGAGCGCAAAUUGCAGUAGAAUUAGCAAAACUCCGUCAACAAAAUGAAAAACCAUUGCAUUCAGACAGAUGUGUUGGAUUAAGUUCAAAUUCAGUAAAAACAAAAGUUGAGAAAGCUGUUACUCAGGAGGAACUAGAUAUUGGUAGACCCGUGCCCUUGACAGUGACUAUUUAGUUUGUCACAUCAACUGAAGAUGGUGGAGUCAGUAUCAAUGAAUGUUUCCUCGAAUCUUUCCCACUGAAAGACACAAAGUAGUGCCUGUAUUUCAAAGUUGUUCUGAGAAAACUUUAGGAAAUAGCACUGCUCCUGAAAGACUUAUGAGACCAAGCAUAUGACAUAAGAGCCAACAUGACUAUGAUGUUAAACAAUACAGCCAGGUGUUGCCCUGAAGCAGUGAUAUUCUUUAACUUGAUACAGUCAGGUGUUGCACUGAAGAAGUGAUAUUCUGUAACUUGAUACAGCCAGGUGUUGCACUGAAGCAGUGAUAUUCUUUAACUUGAUUCAAGGCAUACAUAUAAUUAAUACUUCAGCUCAUCAUUGUGAAUAUUGUUACCUUAUUUUAUACAGGUGACUGUGAAAUUAUUCAGCAACACAUUAAAAGUAGAAUUAAUUCUGUUUGUGCACUCCAGUAGUAGGUGGGAGAGAUCUAUGAUGCUUUGGUCUAUAUGGCACAUGACAACACUUGCAGGAACCAGAGGAACAAAAUAUCAUUCCAAAGCAAAUCUUGGUACAACAAUCUUGAAUCGAAAUUGGUUUAUCAGAUGGUGAGGCAACUGGAAUCAGUACUACAGAACUGUAUGGUUAUUUGCAGGUCCUCAUAUGGAGAGUGACUAAAAUGAUUGUGAAAAGUGUAUUUGCAUACAAGUGCAAAAACAUUAAUUUUACUCUUUUCCAAACACCUUUGUUGCACUGCUAAUUCUGCUGACUUUGCUCAUCACCAGUUGUUGUGAAGAAAGAAAUUUGUGUAAAACAUAAGGUCAAACAUAACAAAAAUGAGGCUAGUUGAACUGCCAACAAUUUCAGUGGAGCAUCAAACUGCAAAAAUUGGACUUGAAGCUUCAAUGAAAGCAAGGAAAGUGAAAUUUCUACAAUUGUAAAAUUUGGAAUUGGCACAAUAGUCAUUUGUUAAUAACUGUUACUG
rnacentral:misc_RNA from 1 species